AUUGAACGCUGGCGGCAGGCCUAACACAUGUAAGCCGAGCGGACGAAGGGAGCUUGCUCCUGAAUUCAGCGGCGGACGGGUGAGUAAUGCCUAGGAAUGUGACUGGUAGUGGGGGAUAACGUCAGGAAAGGGGCGCUAAUCCCGCAUACGUCCCGUGGGAGCAAGCGGGGGCAGUUCGGCCCUUACGCCACCCGAUGACACUAGGUCGGUUUAGCUCGAUGGUGGGGUAACCGACUAACUAAGCGACGCUCCUUAACUGGCCUGGAAGCAUGAUCAGUCACACUGGAACUGAGGCGCGGUCCAGACUCCUACGAAAGACAGCAAGGUGGAAUAUUGCACCAUGGGCACAAGGCUAAUCCAGCCAUGCCACGUGUGUGAAGAAGGUCUUCGGAUUGUAAAGCACUAUAAAUUGGGAGGAAGAACAGUAAGUUGAUGCCUUGCUGUGUUGACGUUACCAACAGAAUGAGCACCAACCAAGUUCGUG
rnacentral:rRNA from 1 species